UGGCUCAGAUGGUAAAAGCGUCUGCCUGCAAUGCGGGAGACCCAGGUUCGAUCCCUGG
rnacentral:tRNA from 1 species